GACCGCUUAGCUCAGUCGGUAGAGCAACUGACUUUUAAUCAGUAGGUCCCGGGUUCAAGUCCCGGAGCGGUCACCA
rnacentral:tRNA from 2 species